rnacentral:rRNA from 1 species
CAUGCAAGUCUAGGGGUAGAAUAAGCUUGCUUUUUUGAGACCGGCGCACGGGUGAGUAACGCGUAUGCCACCUACCUUAUACUGGGGAAUAGCCCGAAGAAAUUCGGAUGAAUGCUCCAUGGUUUUUCGAUAUGAUUUCGUAUUGCUAAUAAAGAUUUAUCGGUAUAUUAUGGGCAUGUGUAUCAUUAGCUAGCUGGUGUGGUAACGGCAUACCAAGGCAACGAUGAUUAUGGGUCCUGAGAGGGAGAUCCCCCACACUGGUACUGAGCCACAUCAAACUCUAUACGGGAGGCAGCAGUGAGGAAUAUUGGUCAAUGGAGGCAACUCUGAACCAGCCAUGCCGCGUGCAGGAUGACGGUCCUAUGGAUUGUAAACUGCUUUUGUACAGGAAGAAACCUCCCUACGAGUAGGGACUUGACGGUACUGUAAGAAUAAGGAUCGGCUAACUCCGUGCCAGCAGCCGCGGUAAUACGGAGGAUCCGAGCGUUAUCCGGAAUUAUUGGGUUUAAAGGGUUCGUAGGCGGCUUUGUAAGUCAGUGGUGAAAUUUCCUAGCUUAACUAGGACACUGCCAUUGAUACUGCAGAGCUUGAAUAAUAUGGAAGUAACUAGAAUAUGUAGUGUAGCGGUGAAAUGCUUAGAUAUUACAUGGAAUACCAAUUGCGAAGGCAGGUUACUACGUAUUUAUUGACGCUGAUGAACGAAAGCGUGGGGAGCGAACAGGAUUAGAUACCCUGGUAGUCCACGCCGUAAACGAUGGAUACUAGCUGUUCGGUUUUCGGACUGAGUGGCUAAGCGAAAGUGAUAAGUAUCCCACCUGGGGAGUACGUUCGCAAGAAUGAAACUCAAAGGAAUUGACGGGGGCCCGCACAAGCGGUGGAGCAUGUGGUUUAAUUCGAUGAUACGCGAGGAACCUUACCAGGGCUUAAAUGUAGAUUGACAGAUUUGGAAACAGAUUUUUCUUCGGACAAUUUACAAGGUGCUGCAUGGUUGUCGUCAGCUCGUGCCGUGAGGUGUCAGGUUAAGUCCUAUAACGAGCGCAACCCCUAUUGUUAGUUACCAUCGCGUAGUGGCGGGGACUCUAGCAAGACUGCCGGUGCAAACCGUGAGGAAGGUGGGGAUGACGUCAAAUCAUCACGGCCCUUACGUCCUGGGCUACACACGUGCUACAAUGGCAAGUACAGAAAGCAGCUACCUGGCAACAGGAUGCGAAUCUCCAAAGCUUGUCUCAGUUCGGAUUGGAGUCUGCAACUCGACUCUAUGAAGCUGGAAUCGCUAGUAAUCGGAUAUCAGCCAUGAUCCGGUGAAUACGUUCCCGGGCCUUGUACACACCGCCCGUCAAGCCAUGGAAGCUGGGGGUACCUGAAGUCGGUGACCGCAAGGAGCUGCCUAGGGUA